rnacentral:rRNA from 1 species
AUUGAACGCUGGCGGCAUGCCUUACACAUGCAAGUCGAACGGUAACAGGUCUUCGGAUGCUGACGAGUGGCGAACGGGUGAGUAAUACAUCGGAACGUGCCUAGUAGUGGGGGAUAACUACUCGAAAGAGUGGCUAAUACCGCAUGAGAUCUACGGAUGAAAGCAGGGGAUCGCAAGACCUUGUGCUACUAGAGCGGCCGGUGGCAGAUUGGGUAGUUGGUGGGAUAAAAGCUUACCAAGCCGACGAUCUGUAGCUGGUCUGAGAGGACGAUCAGCCACACUGGGACUGAGACACGGCCCAGACGCCUACGGGAGGCAGCAGGUGGGAAGUGUGGACAAUGGGCGAAAGCCUGAUCCAGCAAUGCCGCGUGCAGGAUGAAGGCCUUCGGGUUGUAAACUGCUUUUGUACGGAACGAAAAGCCCCGGGUUAAUACCCUGGGGUCAUGACGGUACCGUAAGAAUAAGCACCGGCUAACUACGUGCCAGCCGCCGCAGUAA